CGAGGGACGACCUUAGGUGGAGUUUCCGGAAAAGCAAAUGUAGGUAUAAGUAACGAUAAAGAGGGUGAGAUGCCCUCUCGCCGAUAGACCAAGGUUUCCCGGGCAACGUUAAUCGGCCCGGGGUUAGACGGACCCUAAGGAUAAGCCGAACGGCGAAGCCGAUGGAAAAACGGUCAAAAUUCCGUUUCUUCCGUAUGGGGCGAUGCGGUGACGGAGAAGUGACACUCCCGCGCACAGACGGAAUAGUGCGUUUAACAGUGUAAACGUCGAUGAAGGCAGGCAAAUCCACCUUCAGAGUUGAAACUGGAAAGUACAUGACGCCUUCGGGCCGAUUGAUAGUGGAGGUAAUCCUGCUCCCGAGAAAAC
rnacentral:rRNA from 1 species